UACCGUGUGUAUUUUGUUGUUGGAUUUUUUUUUUAACUUUCAAACGGUGUAAAUUUGUUGUCGCGGGAGCUUGUGUAGGAAUACGAAUAUACGUAAUUCAAGUAAAUUAACUAAUUUCAUUGUUCUGAAGUAAACACGCGAAAUAAUAAAAAUAAUAACAUAAUAAUAAAUAAUAAAAAGAUUUUGUGAAUUUCAAGAAAGGCAGUGGUCUUGUUGAGUAGAAGCAAAAGAAAACUAUGUUAAACAACAAAUACAGCGUUUUCUUGAAUCUUUAAUGAGAGGAUGUGUGGAUUUGUUAUCGCAGAAGCUUGUGCGAAAUUUAUAUAAAAUUGAGAAGAAAACUGUUAACACACGAUAAAUACUUUAAUUGAAGUUAUUUUUUAGUGUUAUUGUAAAAAUGUCUUGAUUAAAGAAGAACAUAAGAGUAAAACUCAUUCAAAAACGUU